AUUGAACGCUGGCGGCAGGCCUAACACAUGCAAGUCGAACGAGUGGCGGACGGGUGAGUAAUGUCUGGGAAACUCCCCGAUGGAGGGGGAUAACUACUGGAAACGGUAGCUAAUACCGCAUACCAUCGGAUGUGCACAGAUGGGAUUCGCUAGUAGGUGGGGUAACGGCUCACACAGGGGACGAUCCCGAGCUGGUCUGAGAGGAUGACCAGCCACACGUGAACUGAGACACGGCCCAGACUCCUCCGUGAGGCAGCAGUGGGGAAUAUUGCACAAUGGGCGCAAGCCUGAUGCAGCCAUGCCGCGUGUAUGAAGAAGGCCUUCGGGUUGUAAAGUACUUUCAGCGGGGAGGCGUUACCCGCAGAAGAAGCACCGGCUAACUCCGUGCCAGCAGCCGCGGUAAUUC
rnacentral:rRNA from 1 species